UUUUGUCCAUUCCUGUCGCUGAAAUCAUAUAUACUACGAGCAAGUGAUAAACAACCUUAAUAGAAAAUCAUCCUGUAAAAUUAUACUAAAUAGUGAAAAAUGAAACCUAUUAUCGAAGAAAAUAUUCAGAAAUGUUUAUCAACAAAUGGAAAUAUACGAUAUGAAAAAGAUCGAAAUUGGUGGUUAUUAUUUGGAAUUAUUAUAAUCCUUACAAUUGGAACUAGAUUUUAUAAAGUUACAGAACCACAACAUGUCUGCUGGGAUGAAACACAUUUUGGUAAAAUGGGAAGCUGGUAUAUAAAUAGAACAUUUUUCUUUGACGUACAUCCUCCUCUUGGAAAAAUGCUUAUUGCACUAUCUGGAUAUUUAACUGGUUACGAUGGUACAUUUGCCUUUGAAAAGCCAGGUGAUAAAUAUGAAGACGUCAAAUAUGCUGGAAUGAGAAUAUUUUGUACAUUAUUAGGUGCUGUUACAGUACCAUUAUCAUUUCUAACAGUAUGGGAUUUAACAAAAUCUACUCAUGCGGCUACACUUUCUGCAGUAUUUAUCCUGUUUGAUGUUGGUCUAUUGACUUUAAAUCAGUAUAUCCUUUUGGAUCCAAUAUUGUUAUGUUUUAUGAUGUGUGCAACUUGGGGAAUGAUUCGUAUUGGGUCUCUUCGGCAUCAACCAUUUACACCAUCUUGGUGGAGUUGGUUAACAUUUACAGGAGUAUCCCUUGCAUGUACAAUUAGUGUAAAAUUUGUUGGUUUGUUUGUUGUGCUGCUUGUUGGUCUUUAUACUAUAUUUGAGCUGUGGCGAGAAUUAGGGGACUUAACCAAACCUAUUUCAUAUGUAGGUAAACAUCUAAUAGCAAGAUUCUGUUGUCUUAUUGUGUUACCAGUGUUACUUUAUAUGUUAUUUUUCUACAUUCAUCUUCACAUUUUGAAUAAAAGUGGAAGUGGAGAUGGAUUCUAUAGUUCUGAAUUUCAAUCAUUAUUAAAAGGAAAUUCUUUAUAUAAUGCAACUAUGCCACGGCAGUUAGCAUAUGGUGCUACUAUUACAUUAAAAAACCAUCGUACAGGUGGUGGAUAUUUGCAUUCUCAUUGGCAUCUAUAUCCUGAAGGAGUUGGUGCCAGACAGCAACAGAUUACAACUUAUUCUCAUAAAGAUGAUAAUAAUCUUUGGUUGAUAAAACAAUUUGAUACUGAUGACAUACCAUCUGAACCAGUAUUGGUAAAGCAUGGAGAUCUUAUACGUUUGGAACAUGUUAUUACAAGACGGAAUUUACAUUCUCAUAAAGAAAUAGCACCAAUUUCAAAAAAACAUUAUCAAGUUACAGGAUAUGGGGAAAAUGGUACAGGAGAUGCUAAUGAUGUUUGGAAAAUAUUAAUAAAAAAUGGUAAAGAUGAUGAUAUAGUUGAAACAGUUACAAGUAAGUUAAAAUUUGUUCACUAUCUUCAUCAUUGUGUAUUAACAUGUAGUGGAAAAACAUUACCAAAAUGGGGUUAUAGUCAACAAGAGGUUUCAUGUAAUCCAAACAUUAGAGACAAAAAUGCAUUAUGGAACAUAGAAGAUAAUAAUUAUGCAAAAUUACCCAAUGUAAGUUUUCAAGUUUAUGCUCCUGGAUUCCUUGAUAGAUUUUUAGAAUCACAUGCUGUUAUGUUGCAAGGAAAUUCAGAUCUCAAAGUCAAAGAAGGAGAAGUAUCUUCCCAACCUUGGCAAUGGCCUAUUAAUUAUAGAGGUCAAUUCUUUUCUGGCAAUAAUCAAAGGGUUUAUUUGCUUGGUAAUCCUGUUAUAUGGUGGGGAAAUAUAAUAUUUCUUAUAAUGUUUGUCCUCUUGUACGUAUAUGCAUGCAUACGAGAACAGAGAGGUUGCAUUGAGGAUCCUUUAACACUUGAGCAAAGAGAGAAAAUAAUGGAAGCUGGAAAAUGGCUUUUCAUUGGAUGGAUGUUACAUUAUAUACCAUUUUGGGCUAUGAGUAGAGUAUUAUAUUUUCAUCAUUAUUUUCCAGCAUUGCUAUACAGUUCAAUGUUAACUGGUGUAACUCUAAAUUACAUUGUUGAAAGUUUACAAAUAUUACUACCUAGCAAAAUGGGAAAUACUAUUUAUCAUAUUAUAAUAGGCACAGUGAUUUCUGUUGUAAUAUAUAGUUUUUAUUUGUUUUCACCAUUGGCUUAUGGAAUGGAGGGACCUUCUGCAUCAGAUCCUGAAAGCUCUAUGCAUUCUUUACGGUGGAUGGAUUCAUGGGAAUUUUAAAUUUCUUACAAUUCUUUGAUUUUUUACAUUUAUUUAUAAAAGUUGAGGAGUUGCAGUCUUUGUUGAAAAAGAUGUUUUUCCGUAACAUGCUGUAUUUCCAUUAAACCCUUGACUAUUUCGAAGAUAGUAUCAUUUAGUAAGGAAUUUGCUAAAGCAGAUAAUAAUUCGUAGGGAAGUCUCAUUUGAUACUUUGGUGGAAGUUCUCCGGCCAUGUGUUGAAGUUGUUCAACCAAAAAAUACAAUUUUCUUUGAAGAUCUUGUGGAGUUGGAUUAGCAAUAUCCAUUAUACAAUACAAGCAAAAGUAUAAAUGCGUGUUUAGAAACUCUCAUGUAGAUCUGUUAAAAUAGAGCCAUUCAAACCACCUACUCUUAACGUAUUCAAUAUCUUCUCAGAGUAGCAGAAAUUAUAUUUAUCGACUGUGUAUUUUUACUUUCGCAAUAUCCAUCGUAUCAAUUUCAGCAUCGGAGGUAGAUGGCACAACAAGACUCGGAAAGGCUUGAGAGUAAGCCUUAAGUAUACGAAAAUUUUGCAAAAAAGUGCACACAUAAGUAAUUAAUUCCCACGUAUUUACUACAUAUAUUAUUAUUUUUAUUGCUGUGAUUAAAGCGAAGAUAUUUAUGUAUAUUACAUAAAUGAUUAUCAAUGAUUAUUUAUAUCAAAGUUUUUGGACAAGUUGAAAAUAUUUAAUGAUCACAUCUAUGGCUACUGAAAUUUAUUUAUCAGGUAAGAAGAGAAGCAAUACAUUUUACAUUGAUUAUUGAUAAUUCGUAUGAAUUUAUAUCGUAAUAAGACCUCUCAAUAUAUAUAUUAAUAAGAUUUAAAAACUUUUAAAUUUAUGUUGAAACAACGUGCGAUUAUCUUCUCUUAAAUUAAGUGCUUUACAAGCAAUGUCUAUUGAAUGAACAAUUGAUGGUGAACCGCAACUAAAUACACCAAUUUUAUUAGCCUGAAACAAACAAUUGUAAGGAAUAUAAUAUAUUUUACAUACUAUAUAAGAUAAUUUUAAUAAUUUAAUACCUUGAAAAUUUGCUUAUUAUACUUACAUUAGGAUGUAAUUUUUGAAUUGACUGAAAAAACUGAGAAAAUUUUGGUCUCCCAAAAUGGGUGAUUGCCAUCAAACCAGUAAAAAGAGACUUGUUAUAUAUUCUUUGAAAGUGACGUUCACAUAUAUACUAAAAAAUAUGAAAUUUAAAUUAACAUAUGUCAUUCUAUAAAGGGUAAUUAUAUCUCUUAUAUAAAAAGUUAGCAAGUUUAGAAAUAUAUUUUACCAAUAAGAUGGUACGUAAAUCAAAUUUUUGAUAGAAUUGUGUAAUAAAGAUGUGUACAGAUACACAAUUAUUUAUAUCAGAUUUUUCAAGUUCUCUAAGUAUAUCAACCAUCCAUUCAAAUUGUUUUUGUGUUCUUGUUACCCAAAUAAAAUAUACCUAGAAAAGUGAUUCAUUAUAAUACUACUAAUAUGAAAUAAGUAUAUAGAUAAUAUUACCUUUUGACAACCUAAAGCAAACUUGUGAUUACAUUUAAAAACUAUAUCUUUUAAUAUUGAUGCAAAAGGUGUAACACCUAUUCCAGCUCCUACCAUUAUUGCCACAUGAUAUUUAUUCCAAUCUUGAUGGGCUUCACCAUAUGGUCCAUCAAUAUGAAUCUGUAUCAAAAUAAUGAAUAUAUAUUGUAAAAUGAAUUAUAAGAUGAUAAAUUAAUUAUAAAUACAUUAUUUUUACCUUUGGUAAUUUUUUAUUAAGAGAUAUAGAAAAAUCUAAUUUAUUUCUGAUAUUUGUAGUCCAAGGUCCAAUUGCUCUGAUAUGUGUUGUUAAAUUAAUUUCAUGAGGUGCUGAAGAAAGAGUAAAGGGAUGGUAUUCAUUUGUUCCUAAUGCUGGACAUGCAAUCCUUAUCCAUUGUCCACAUUUGUAUUGAAAAUUUGGUGGUUUUGCAAAAGUUAUGCAUGUUACAUCUAUAUUAUAUAUUGUAACAUUUAAGAACAUACUUAUAUUAAUAAUUUUUACAGAUAUAAUUGUUACAUUACAAAUUUUAUAGUCUUACCUGAGGGUAGAAUUUUUGCUUUUAAUAUUGGUAUUUCUAUUGUUUUUCUUGUCAUUGUAAUAAUCUUAUCUAGGAUAAAUAAUAUAAAUGGACCCAAAAAGAAAUAAUGGAAAUAUGGCUCCUGUUAUUAAACAUAUAUAUGUAUGUAUGUGUGUGUCUAUAUAUAUAUAUACUACUUUCUAAAUAAAAAAGCAAGUAAUGUUUUUUAUAUAAUAGAAAUGAUAAAUACUUGAACUAAUCUUCCUGUACCAUGCAGAAUCAUAAAGAUAUAAAAAACUGGAUACAAAGAAUGUGUAAAGGUAAACUGAUUAUAGAGCAUUCUUCGUACGAUAGGCAGUGAAAAUAAAAAUAUUAUACCAGUCAGAAUAGUCAACAAUAUACCAGUUAUGCCUGUAAUUGUUUGCCACAUCCAAUAAUGGAAUUUUGGAAGUUCAUGAGUCCUAAAUACAGAUAAUUAUUUUCAUAUAAUGAUUUUUUAGCAAUUAUAUGUUAUAUUAUUCAUUAUGUUAAUAUUAUGAUAAUAUUAUUCUAUUAUUAUUCACUGUGUUAUGAUAUAUAUUAUGCAACAUUAAAAUACAUACGCAUGAAAAUAGUUUGGGAACAAACAUGUUAGAUCAUCAGCUGUUUGUGUUGAAAUGUUAUAGAAAUUGAAACCAUGUCCAAUGAUGUGUAGUACUACAUUAAACCAUAUGUUACUCAAUUAAAUUUAAAGGAUUUAAACUUUAUAAACAAUAUAAUAUGUAAAAAAAAUUAUUUUUUUUGUCAUAUAAAAAAUAUAUUUUCUAUUGUCUUA